AACCAGGCAUGGGACAUUGUUCAUGAGACCCGCAGCUUCCGUCUCAAAGCAAAGAAUGUUCAGCUCUUGAUCUCCCGUAUAUGUAUCCCGCACCUUGGCAUCCUUGAGUACAGAAUUUCCCGACGCGAUAGUUCCAUAGUGAAUUUUAAGUGCACGGUUGUUCUGGCGUUCCGGGCGGUUCGUGACCAAGUGCGAGCCACAUGCAUCACAAUUUUGUCCACCUAAAUGUGGAUAGUCAGAAGCAUAGAGCAGGUCGACAGUUGGCUUUUGAUAAUCUUCCAUGUCAUCCAGAAGCUGAAGAUGCUCCGUUAGUCUAUCUGGCUUCCUUUUAUCGCUGUACAAUCGGCGCAUCUCAGGUAUGACUCCUAGAAGUUUUUCAGGCGGCGCAUUUAGUUGACCUGUCCUCUGAAACCGACCAUCUUUCAUUUUGCCCAGGUCAUAUUGAAUUACCCCGCCAAACCCAUCUUUUGGUUGACUGACGACAACAUCACCCAGCCGGAUGUCAUUUCGGCUGCUCGGCGCACCACCCCCAAUGCCCACCAUCAAUGCGAACCGCACAUGUGGAAAGGUUCGGAUCAUAUCACGGGCAACACGAGCAGCGGAAUUGGUGCCAUACCGACCAGCUGGAAGACACCCAACCACCACAUAAUGCUUCGCAAUACGACCGUAGACAUAAGUAUUAUCGUCGUUGUCUCCGCAUAUCUCCGGACCAUCGAAUUCUUCGUCGAGCAUACGGCAUGCACAGAAAUACUCUUCUUCGAGGGCGCAGAUCCAUGCUACUGUGUAGGAGCCCGCUGAACCCGAGUCUUGCUGCUUAGAUCCAUUCAUUGAGUCGCCAGUGGAGCCAAAGCUUUCUCACUCUCUGAGGUGCAUUCAAUAUUGAUUUCAAGCUUCUUCUGGCUGGGCGGUGUGUCUCGAUGCGUCGUAAGUGAGAAUGGCCCCGCCUGAAGGGAAAGAGGGGCAAGUCAGAUCAGGUGGUGCUCGAAGCCUGCUGGCUGUCUUACGAGAUGACAGACAAAAUUUCAUUUUAGAAUAAUAACAUCAAUUGCCUGGAUGAAGACACAGCAACUGAUGUAUGUAAACUUAAGGGGUUUUUUUUUUUUUUCUCCCUUGCGCAAAUUGAAGGCUAAUAUUUUCGGUGGCUAUGCUGUGGAAGCUGAGUGUGUGAGCUACAAAAGAAUAGACUCCAGUUAGAAAAAAAGAGUACCUAUCGGGCUGACAGCUCCAAGGCAGGGUUGUGGGUUUUGCUGCUGUGAAGCAAUUUUUUCCAAAGCUGCCAGUCAGACUCUCGCGGCCCAUUUAUGUCGAAUUUUCGAGUGUUUUCUGUAUUCGAACGAACUUUCGGUACCGAAAGAAGUAAAUAAUAAUUUACAGGCUUAGCCAGACAUAAACUAGUAUUUUAUUAGUCUUUUUGUCAAGAGAACUAAGAAUUGUAAAGCAUGGAAUUCGAUUAUCUGAGGGUGCUUUGACGAGGAAUUAGCCUCAGGUAUUUGUUGCCACACUGCUG
rnacentral:sRNA from 2 species